rnacentral:snRNA from 2 species
AGGGGGUUUUAUCUUUGGAAAAAGUUCUUGAUUUAGACGUGCAAGUUAAAGGAAAUAACAACACUAAUGAUUCAGCGGGUGACGAAAGAAUAACUAGCCAUCUUUUUUGUAGCUUUGGUUGUGAAAAGACG